rnacentral:piRNA from 1 species
CUGUAUCUACGGACCACGGAGCG